GAUGAACGCUAGCGAUAGGCUUAACACAUGCAAGUCGAGGGGUAACGUGUUGGAAGCUUGCUUCCGAUGACGACGACCGGCGGAUGGGUGCGUAACGCGUAUGCAACUUGCCUCACAGUGGAGAAUAACCCGGAGAAAUCCGGACUAAUACUCCAUACACUCUUAAGUACGCCUGUACAUGAGAGGAAAGAUUUAUCGCUGUGAGAUAGGCAUGCGUCCUAUUAGGUAGUUGGUGAGGUAACGGCUCACCAAGCCGACGAUAGGUAGGGGUGCUGAGAGGCAGAUCCCCCACAUUGGGACUGAGACACGGCCCAAACUCCUACGGGAGGCAGCAGUGAGGAAUAUUGGUCAAUGGAGGAAACUCUGAACCAGCCGAGUCGCGUGAAGGAAGAAUGUCCUAAGGAUUGUAAACUUCUUUAGCGAGCGAGUAAGGACUUCCACGUGAUGGGAGUUUGAAAGUAGCUCGAGAAUAAGAAUCGGCUAACUCCGUG
rnacentral:rRNA from 1 species